rnacentral:lncRNA from 1 species
CAACAACUACCCAGUAUAUUCCCACCAGGUGGGAGUCUGGGGAGGGCAAUAUGUAGACAAGCCUUACCCCUACCCGAAAGGGCAGGGAGGCUGUUUCCAAUCGACCCUCGGCGCAUAGGACAAAUGGAAAAACAGCUGUAAAACAAAACAAAAACAAAAAGCAUUAGUGACUCCCGCAGAAAAUAGUGAAAAUAAUUAACUAAAAAU